rnacentral:ncRNA from 1 species
AACCGCCGUAUACGGAACCGUAUGUACGGUGGUGUGAGAGGACGGGGGAGGUAACUCCCCCUCCUACUCAAU